GUGAUCCAGUAGAUUUACCCACAGUUCCGGCCUUGGCAUUUCCGGGUCUCCUUUGGUGUUUCCUCAGUAUUGACUUCAUCCUCUUGAUUUCAUUGAAUCCAGACAGCCUUGCCCUGCUUUAUUUCUCAACUUGCCUCUAGCCCAGAAUGUGCACAGGAUGGUUGGAACUUGGGCAGCUGCCCUGGACCAUGAAGCCGUCUUGAGCGCCGGGAGCCAAUUAGCAUGGUGUAGUGAAAGAGAGAGAUCACAGUAGACAGAGGCAGGC